CCUGUCACAGAUUUUAGCCACUAGUGUUUGUUUGUUUACAAUAAUUGUGCAAGAGUACAUUAUGUACUGUUGAUUGUAGUAAGAGAAGGACAGUAGGCGAUGGAAGUGGAGGAAGAAGUGGGCUGCACGCCAUGCUCCGACAGCAAAAUCUUUGCCUCCAGGGAGGAGCUGGAAGCAUUUUUAAAGGAGCAAUUGCCACCGGAAAACUUUGUGGUCAGGAGUACGAUGAAGGGCUUCCUUGGAAGUGCCAUCGAUAUCCUCGCGGCCAAGGACCUUCGACAUGUCUGGCAGCAUCACCGAAUGUGUGUCCCUAUUGAUUUCCAUGGAGUCCCCUUCUGCGUGCUCGGCCGGCAAGAGUGUCAGUUCGGGAAGGAAAGAUGCCAUGAAGCUAAACAGCCUACGGACACAAGCGACGCAACGCGGUCACCUGCGGACCAGGCUUCCUCGAAUCCCAGCCAUGAGAAGAUAUCAAGGCGGCUCUCUCUU